UAAUACGUAGGGUGCGAGCGUUAAUCGGAAUUACUGGGCGUAAAGCGUGCGCAGGCGGCAUGAUAAGCCAGAUGUGAAAUCCCCGGGCUUAACCUGGGAACUGCAUUUGGAACUGUCAAGCUAGAGUGUAGCAGAGGGGGGUAGAAUUCCACGUGUAGCAGUGAAAUGCGUAGAGAUGUGGAGGAAUACCGAUGGCGAAGGCAGCCCCCUGGGCUAACACUGACGCUCAUGCACGAAAGCGUGGGGAGCAAACAGG
rnacentral:rRNA from 1 species